rnacentral:rRNA from 1 species
GUAGGUGGCAAGCGUUGUCCGGAAUUAUUGGGCGUAAAGCGCGCGCAGGCGGUUCGUUUAAGUCUGAUGUGAAAGCCCACGGGCUCAACCGUGGAGGGUCAUUGGAAACUGGAGAACUUGAGUACAGAAGAGGAAAGCGGAAUUCCACGUGUAGCGGUGAAAUGCGUAGAGAUGUGGAGGAACACCAGUGGCGAAGGCGGCUUUCUGGCCUGUAACUGACGCUGAGGCGCGAAAGCGUGGGGAGCAAACAGGAUUAGAUACCCUGGUAGUCCACGCCGUAAACGAUGAGUGCUAAGUGUUAGGGGGUUUCCGCCCCUUAGUGCUGCAGCUAACGCAUUAAGCACUCCGCCUGGGGAGUACGGCCGCAAGGCUG